ACCCUUUUAGCUCAAUGGUCGAGCGUUGGCUUUGUAAAUCACAGAUCGGUGGCUCGAUUCCACCCGGGCGCA
rfam:Phytophthora infestans T30-4 supercont1.28 genomic scaffold, whole genome shotgun sequence.